UACGUAGGGUGCGAGCGUUAAUCGGAAUUACUGGGCGUAAAGGGCGCGUAGGCGGUCUACUAAGUUGGAUGUGAAAACUCUGGGCUUAACCCAGAGCCUGCAUUCAAAACUGAUAGGCUGGAGUUCUGGAGGGGAUAGCGGAAUUCCUGGUGUAGCGGUGAAAUGCGUAGAUAUCAGGAGGAACACCGGUGGCGAAGGCGGCUAUCUGGACAGAAACUGACGCUGAGGCGCGAAAGCUAGGGGAGCAAACAGG
rnacentral:rRNA from 1 species